rnacentral:rRNA from 1 species
UUGGUGGGGUAAUGGCCUACCAAGGCGGCGACGGGUAGCCGGCCUGAGAGGGUGGACGGCCACAUUGGGACUGAGAUACGGCCCAGACUCCUACGGGAGGCAGCAGUGGGGAAUAUUGCACAAUGGGCGGAAGCCUGAUGCAGCGACGCCGCGUGGGGGAUGACGGCCUUCGGGUUGUAAACUCCUUUCGGCCGCGAGGAAGCCGCCUGGUUGGAAGGGUGGUGACGGUAGUGGUAGAAGAAGCACCGGCUAACUACGUGCCAGCAGCCGCGGUAAUACGUAGGGUGCGAGCGUUGUCCGGAUUUACUGGGCGUAAAGAGCUCGUAGGUGGCUUGUCGCGUCGCCUGUGAAAGUCUGGGGCUUAACUCCGGGUGUGCAGGCGAUACGGGCUGGCUUGAGUGCUGUAGGGGAGACUGGAAUUCCUGGUGUAGCGGUGGAAUGCGCAGAUAUCAGGAGGAACACCGAUGGCGAAGGCAGGUCUCUGGGCAGUCACUGACGCUGAGGAGCGAGAGCAUGGGUAGCGAACAGGAUUAGAUACCCUGGUAGUCCAUGCUGUAAACGGUGGGCGCUAGGUGUGGGGACUUUCCAUGGUUUCCGUGUCGUAGCUAACGCGUUAAGCGCCCCGCCUGGGGAGUACGG